rnacentral:rRNA from 1 species
UACGUAGGGGGCAAGCGUUGUCCGGAAUCAUUGGGCGUAAAGCGCGUGUAGGCGGCUCGGUAAGUCCGCUCUGAAAGCCCGGGGCUCAACCCCGGGAGGCGGGUGGAUACUGCUGAGCUCGAGUCCGGAAGAGGAGUGUGGAAUUCCUGGUGUAGCGGUGAAAUGCGCAGAUAUCAGGAGGAACACCAAUGGCGAAGGCAGGUCUCUGGGCCACUACUGACGCUGAGAAGCGAAAGCAUGGGGAGCGAACAGG